AACUUUUUUCUCAUUAUGACUUUUCUCUGUUCUUUGACUCACUCCAUCACACCCUUGUCCCCGUCAAACCUUUUCAUUUCCAUUUGAAAAAUGUGUCUUUCUUAACUGCACUGUCUUCCCUUCCUGGCUUUGCUUGUUUCCUGUGUCUCUGUCUCAUUUCUUCUCCCCAAAACUUGCCCCCACCCCCGUCCCUCCUUAUCACUGCAGGGUGAAAUACUGGUAAGUACCACAAACCUACAAGCCAUGCCCAGUUAAAGGUCACCAGCGCUCAUCCAGACAGGAGAACUGAGGCCGUAACAGCUAGGUGGCCUGAGAGAAGGCGAAGCCGAGAAGGUAUAGUCUGGUGGAAAAACCAAACUGGAAUAAAAUUUAAUUAUGGCUAGUUUUUCAAUUACAGUUACGACUAAUCAGUAACUGACGUCAAUUCCACCAUAAAAUGCCCACUGUAAUUAGUGGCAUCACCUAACAUUCGGUAAUUUUAGUAAUUAAACCGAGAGAACAUUACUAACCAUUCCUUUGAGAAAAUGUCACAGUGCACCCUUAAUUUAAUAUAUCAGUGUAUUUUUAUGCAUGAAAGAACCCUUUUUUUAUGAGAAAAUGGAGUGAAAUGGAGGCCUCAGUUAUCCUGUUGCUGGAUGUGAGUCCUGGUGGCCCAGGCUGGGUGAGCAGAGUUUGCCUUGUGGAGAAUCAGCCUCUACGUCACCAUGGGGAUAUGGUGGGUGGGCGGGGCCAAGAAAACAUACAAUUCAUACUAAA